GGUUUCUGAUAAAAUACUAGUUCUGGUGAUCUCUAAUGUGAGCCAUUUAUACUCCAAGGAAGCUUAAAAAUCCAUUUUGGAAAACAAAUAUUGUCCAGGUGCUAACUAAAAAAAAACUUUCUAAAAGUCCUAUUGUUACUCUGUAGGUACCAGGCAUCUGAGGGAUGCUGAAAAGCAUGAAUGCAUUUUAAGGAAGAAUGACCAAUAGGGAGACGGGAUGUGAAAGCAUGGGCGAGUUGUUCAGUGUGGUUGUCACUAGCUACAAAAUUCAGUUCCUCAAUCACACCACCAGCACCUCCAGCAUUUGGUGCACAUUUGGCCAGCAGGAACUCUCCUGAGCAGUAUAAACACAAGACCUCAAGGUCUUAGAUAGAACAGCACUGUAGAAGCAAUGAUUGAAGCAACAGGAAUUGAGAAGACUUUUUGGGGCCUGGAACUCAUGGUUCUAUCAGGUUGAGAAGACUUUGUGUAAUAAAGACUGCAUUUGAAUAGU
rnacentral:lncRNA from 1 species